rnacentral:piRNA from 1 species
UAAUGCUUUUAAGUUUGUCGA